CCUACGGGAGGCAGCAGUGGGGAAUAUUGCACAAUGGGGGAAACCCUGAUGCAGCGACGCCGCGUGAGUGAAGAAGUAUUUCGGUACGUAAAGCCCUAUCAGCAGGGAAGAAAAUGACGGUACCUGACUAAGAAGCCCCGGCUAACUACGUGCCAGCAGCCGCGGUAAUACGUAGGGGGCAAGCGUUAUCCGGAUUUACUGGGUGUAAAGGGAGCGUAGACGGCAGCGCAAGUCUGGAGUGAAAUCCCAUGGCUUAACCAUGGAACCGCUUUGGAAACUGUGCAGCUAGAGUGCAGGAGAGGUAAGCGGAAUUCCUAGUGUAGCGGUGAAAUGCGUAGAUAGUAGGAGGAACACCAGUGGCGAAGGCGGCUUACUGGACUGUAACUGACGUUGAGGCUCGAAAGCGUGGGGAGCAAACAGGAUUAGAUACCCGAGUAGUC
rnacentral:rRNA from 1 species